rnacentral:rRNA from 1 species
GAUGAACGCUGGCGGCGUGCCUAAUACAUGCAAGUCGAGCGAACAGAUAAGGAGCUUGCUCCUUUGACGUUAGCGGCGGACGGGUGAGUAACACGUGGGUAACCUACCUAUAAGACUGGGAUAACUUCGGGAAACCGGAGCUAAUACCGGAUAACAUUUGGAACCGCAUGGUUCUAAAGUGAAAGAUGGUUUUGCUAUCACUUAUAGAUGGACCCGCGCCGUAUUAGCUAGUUGGUAAGGUAACGGCUUACCAAGGCGACGAUACGUAGCCGACCUGAGAGGGUGAUCGGCCACACUGGAACUGAGACACGGUCCAGACUCCUACGGGAGGCAGCAGUAGGGAAUCUUCCGCAAUGGGCGAAAGCCUGACGGAGCCACGCCGCGUGAGUGAUGAAGGGUUUCGGCUCGUAAAACUCUGUUAUUAGGGAAGAACAAAUGUGUAAGUAACUGUGCACGUCUUGACGGUACCUAAUCAGAAAGCCACGGCUAACUACGUG